UCGGGGGCUCACCAUAGAGAGGGCCGCCUAGAAGCCCUUGCAUCCGGGCUCUCCGCCUGCGGAGACUUGACUCCUCCACGAGGCGGGAGGACGGAAGGAACGGAGACCCCCCAUCCCCCGACCCCACAGGGAGCCGCCAUCUCCCCAGAGCUGAAAAGGAGACCUGGAAACAGGAUGGCACAGAAGACACGUACAAGCCAGUGCAAUUAAAAGAGAAAGCACAUUAAUUAGAAAGAAGUUCGGAGACAGAAGUCAAACAGAAGGAAGACGAGCCAAGAUGGCUUCUGCCCUGACCUUGACAUCUACGACCCUUGCUCUGACCCCGCAGGUCCAGGCCUCACUGUCCACUGCACCAGGAUACACACCUGUCCCCAGAUACCGGCAACACCUCUGUCCCGGCCAGGCUGCCACUGGUAACCACAGCUCCCAGAAGGCUGGGGCUGGACCUGUCCAGGCCCCGUGGCCUGCUGCCCUCCUCCCAGCCCCAGCCUGCUGUUGACCUUUAAGCAGACCUUGGCAGUGGAAAUUUCAGGGCCCCAGAGGGGACCCCCAAAGUGAAACUCAAGCCCAGAAAUGGAUUUUCUUCUUCUCCAAGAGCAAAAGAAGUUGAAUAAAAAAUUAGUUACUAUUUUUACUGCCGGGAUCCAGUUGUUAUGGCAACCAAGGGCCUGACUCCUGCUCAGGAGGAGGUGGGGUUGGAGUGGGAUGAGGAAUCAGGCAGGGAUGGGGCUGGGGCAGGCAGCAGCUGGGGACAGGCCUAGGGCAGGCAGCAGGUCCGCCCCUCCAGAAAGGAGUGUCCCCCCACCCCCCUCACCUGAUAGAGCUCACCUGACUGAGUUCCUAAUGACUCUGUCUCCCUUCAGCCACACUGGCCUCCUGCCACCUCUGUGGGCUCCAGCUUGGCCCAGCCUGGUCACCUAAGACUCUCUCCACUACCUCUGAGAGUGGGUGGCCGUGCCGUCUCCAGGUGGAAACCGAGGCCCCUGUCUCAGGGGCAACUCACACUGAGUACAUCAGCCCCAUCAACCUCACCUAGCCAAAACUCUCCCUUCAG